AGAGUUUGAUCCUGGCUCAGAACGAACGCUGGCGGCAGGCUUAACACAUGCAAGUCGAACGCCCGUAGCAAUACGGGAGUGGCAGACGGGUGAGUAACGCGUGGGAAUCUCCCCAAAGGUACGGAACAACUCAGGGAAACUUGAGCUAAUACCGUAUGUGCCCGAGAGGGCAAAGAUUCAUCGCCUUUGGAUGAGCCCGCGUUGGAUUAGCUAGUUGGUGGGGUAAUGGCCUACCAAGGCGACGAUCCAUAGCUGAUCUGAGAGGAUGAUCAGCCACACCGGGACUGAGACACGGCCCAGACUCCUACGGGAGGCAGCAGUGGGGAAUCUUGGACAAUGGGCGAAAGCCUGAUCCAGCCAUGCCGCGUGAGUGAAGAAGGCCUUAGGGUUGUAAAGCCCUUUUGCCCGGGAAGAUAAUGACGGUACCGGGAGAAUAAGCCCCGGCAAACUUCGUGCCAGCCGCCGCGGUAAUAC
rnacentral:rRNA from 1 species